rnacentral:rRNA from 1 species
AUGGUUGAUAGGAAUUAUGAGUCUAGGAAAAAUUACGGGGUUUUACCACUGCGAGACAUAUCACACACACCAUAUGCAAAUGUGGUGCAUGUUAACAAUGCUCCUGAUGCUGCUGGUGUGUUUAAUUCAGUUCCUUCUGUGGAGGUCAACAAUGCCAAUAGUGUUCCUGAAGCUCUCAAUGAGAACACGUCAAUUGAUUCAAAAAGUCCUCAUAUCAUUUCAGAAGGUCCCAGUUGCACUGCAAAAGUUGAACCUGAUGUAAAAUUUAAACCAGAGCCACAUUUGAAAUCAGAGGUCCCCUCCAAUGAUGUAGUUAAGAACGAGCCAAUCGGACCAAAAUUUGAGAACAUUUCUGUCCUGAAUUCGACGUACCAAACACCAUUUUUUCCUAUCAAUGGUACACCUCUGAAUACCAACUCUGUUGAGCAACCAACUACUUCACAACCUAAGCAGGAAGAAAUUUUUCUAUCGACUGAAGCACCUGAUAUCAAAUUUUCUAGUGGAGUUAAUGCAAAAAGAAGUUUUAUAUUGAUUAGUUCCUCUUCUCCAAAUGAAAGUGUGAAGCGCUCCCAAGGGACUCCAAUCGUUAUUCAGGAUGAUUCUCCUAUCACUCCUGCUGCUGCGACUAAUGAAGACAUACCAGCCUCUCACUGUGAUACAAGUGUAGGAAUCCCAAUGAACAUGGACUUUGCUAUCCAACAAGGCUAUUCUACAAUGAAUAAUGCAGAAGCUGGACCGAGUACAGGAACUAAUACAAUUGAAAAGAAGAACAGAAAGAAAAGAGCAGCUAAACUUCAAUCCCCCGAUCCACCCAAGAAACUCAAAAUCUCUCGUGAAGUGGAUAUCUUCUUUUCCAAAUAUCUGAGGAAGCCUAUCUUCCAAGAAUACACUCUUUUUGUUGACAUAGAGGGUUUUCCUGUAAGCUAUGAGAAUUACUUAAAUUCAUUUAAAGCGAGGGGUGAGAUUGGAGAUGAAGUGAUGAACUCAUUUAUUCAAGUUCUUAACUACGAAUCAAAGAUGUCAUCUGAAGUAAAGCCUUCUGUCAAGAAGUACUGUUUCACUUCGUACUUCACUAAUAAAUUGUUGGUUCCCCCUGAGUUAUUUGAUCCAGUUUCGUGCAUACGAGAAUUUGACAGGAUUAAUUAA